rnacentral:rRNA from 1 species
AUACGGAGGAUCCGAGCGUUAUCCGGAUUUAUUGGGUUUAAAGGGUGCGCAGGCGGCCAUUUAAGUCAGCGGUUAAAUCGUGGGGCUCAACCCCAUUCUGCCGUUGAUACUGGGUGGCUUGAUUGCGGUCGAGGUUGGCGGAAUUCGUUGUGUAGCGGUGAAAUGCAUAGAUAUGACGAAGAACACCAAUUGCGUAGGCAGCUGACCAGACCGCAAAUGACGCUCAUGCACGAAAGUGCGGGGAUCGAACAGGAUUAGAUACCCUGGUAGUCCGCACAGUAAACGAUGAAUACUUGUUUUCGGCGAUAUAAUGUCGGAGGCAAAGCGAAAGCGAUAAGUAUUCCACCUGGGGAGUACGCCGGCAACGGUGAAACUCAAAGGAAUUGACGGGG